rnacentral:rRNA from 1 species
GACGAACGCUGGCGGCGUGCUUAACACAUGCAAGUCGAACGGAAAGGCCCUGCUUUUGUGGGGUGCUCGAGUGGCGAACGGGUGAGUAACACGUGAGUAACCUGCCCUUGACUUUGGGAUAACUUCAGGAAACUGGGGCUAAUACCGGAUAGGAGCUCCUGCUGCAUGGUGGGGGUUGGAAAGUUUCGGCGGUUGGGGAUGGACUCGCGGUUUAUCAGCUUGUUGGUGGGGUAGUGGCUUACCAAGGCUUUGACGGGUAGCCGGCCUGAGAGGGUGACCGGCCACAUUGGGACUGAGAUACAGCCCAGACUCCUACGGGAGGCAGCAGUGGGGAAUAUUGCACAAUGGGCGGAAGCCUGAUGCAGCAACGCCGCGUGCGGGAUGACGGCCUUCGGGUUGUAAACCGCUUUCGCCUGUGACGAAGCGUGAGUGACGGUAAUGGGUAAAGAAGCACCGGCUAACUACGUG